AUUUUGCACACAAUCACUGGCAGAUCAUAGACCAAAUGUUUCCGGACUCUUUUUAUGUUUUUUUGUUAUUCCGCGGUUUACGCAUAAUUGUGGAAAUUACAAAAACAUAGUUUGUGAUUCAGGAGGUCGCAGUACGUUGUUAUUAUAACAACAGAGUGUAAUGCCACAGUGUAAAGAACCAAUUAUUAAAAAUUUUAAAAAAUUAUAAAGGUGUAAAAAAGUGGAAGAUAAAAUAAUUAAAAUUUUUUUGUGUGAAUUUGUCGAAAAAUGCAAAGAAACAUUUGAAGAGUAAGAACGACUCGCUUCUAUUUCGUACUUAUUCAAUGAAAGACUUUUAGAUUACAACCAUUAAAAUGCAGCGUAUAUAAUUUUGCAUGCUGCAUUCUGGACAAUAUCUUUAUGGAAAGCCGAAUUAAUGCUGAAAUGGAUUCAAAAUCAACUAAUUCUGGGAACGACGCUAUCACCAUCGACAAUCCAAACGACAUCCAAAAGGAAUUAGUACAACAUACAUAUGUAACGGAAUAAAAUUUGUCCUGAUAGUCUUCUAAUGUAUAAAGCUGUUAUCUACGAAGACUUUAAACAAUGUUUCGCUGUUCUGGGGCCAUUCUUCACACUCCAUGCAUAAAGGUCUCCUUUCCAAUAAUUUGUAUUAGGAAGAGGCCGAACUUUGUUUUCCUUCUCGUUAAUUCGACGUCGGUAAGGUGAGUGUCCCACGUCUUUUGCGACAUGAGAUCGUAUUAUGUGUAAUAUGGAUCUGUUGACUCGUUCAGCUGCGUUUGCUUGCGGUGCGUAGAAGCCUGUCCUGAUGGACGUCAUAUUUCUGCAGGAACUCCUGAAUAGCCACUAAAACGAAGUGCCAUUAUCUGAGUGUAUCAUUUCUAGCACUCCAAAUAUGUGGAAAACGUCUUGCUCCAAGUAUCUGAUCACUCCCUCGGCACCAGCUUUCCUCAUUGGUUUUAGAAGCACGUACUUGGAAAACUGAUCCAGGCAGACGAAUAUACAGGUGUUGCCGUGCAACAGCACACCUCACAGCUGCUCACCAAGUCUCUCACUUCAGUUGCC